AUUGAACGCUAGCGGGAUGCUUUGCACAUGCAAGUCGAACGAGUGGCGGACGGGUGAGUAAUAUAUCGGAACGUGCCCAGUAGCGGGGGAUAACUACUCGAAACAGUGGCUACUACCGCAUCCUAUUGGAGCGGCCGAUAUCGGAUUAGCUAGUGGGUGGGGUAAAGGCUCACCAAGGCAACGAUCCGUCGCUGGUUUGAGAGGAGGACCAGCCACACUGGGACUGAGACACGGCCCAGACUCCUACGGGAGGCAGCAGUGGGGAAUAUUGGACAAUGGGGGAAACCCUGAUCCAGCCAUCCCGCGGGUAUGAGAAGGCCUUAGGGUUGUAAAGUACUUUCAGUCGGGAGGCGUUACCGGCAGAAGAAGCACCGGCUAACUCCGUGCCAGCCGCCGCGGUAAUAC
rnacentral:rRNA from 1 species